GAGGACCCACACGUGCAUGCUCGCACGAGCGAACGCUGGUUGGCGCGAAGCGAGGAUGGAACGCGCGGAGUGCUAACUUUUCUUGACCAAACUUCUCGCGUAGCUUCCACAACGUUGAUAUGCAUGGAACGGAGUAUCGGCAUUUAUUCUGUAUGGUAUCGGCCCGCAGCCGUUCCAAGCUUAGGCUAUGGUUAGGCUUAGGUGGCGGCCUGCGGGAGCGGUUGGGAGGACGGGCGCCGAGCGUCAGCGCUCACCAGCGUCUUCGGUAGGAAAGGCCAGAGAAAGUACUUUGCAGCAGAACAGCAAGCUGAAGCGCAAGCAGCAACUGCAGUGUUCAACAGUGGACAUUAUAUGUACAACGGUGGACAAUAUAUAUGUGCGACUCAGACGCCCGGUGUGUUAACUACGGUGACGGCGGCGACAAGUGUACCUCUGGUGUAUGGACAUUUCUUCGAUGGCGAGUUUGGGUUCAUUAAGGAUUGCAUCCACCGGACCAAGUGGCGGCAGGGCAUGGUGCUGGUGUCCGCCAAGCUGCGGCAGCUACCCCUGGCUCUUCGGCAGCCGGUCACCGAGCUACGCCGACUCAAGGAUGACGAUGUCAUUGAGUGGGUGUCAGUAUCCGAAUGCGUAUCACCACUUGUGGUGACCUGCAAAAAGAAUGGCACCAUCCAGCUCUGUGUCGUCCUUCGGGAACCAAACAAGGCCAUCAUCAACGGUUAUCUACUACCCUACGUGAAGAACUGCUCCACAUGUUAAAUGGCAAGGAGGGCAAGUCUUAUUGCAGCCUCCCAGAAACCUUCCUCAUGGGUAUGGCUGAAGACGACUUAAGGUGAGCGCUUUCCAAGGCUGUAUUAGGCUUCAGUGCGAAAGGCAGACCGGCACCAUCUCCUGUGGACGUACCCUGGGUGACAAGCCAUCUGUCGAUGUCGAUGGUAUUUUUACAAUAUCUAGGAAACUGAGCUUCACAAUUACGUGCAGUAAUAUUUUUGAUGCUAAAUAGCAAACGCAUAAAAAAAAGGUAACUUGAGUGUGUGACCGUGCUUAUCUGAUAGGGGACCUUGAUCCUUCACAGUGUAAUGCAGAGCGGCAAGUUGGUGACCGUAGGGGUUGCCGAACAAGUCUCGAAGCUUUUGCUUAAGCGAAUCCCAACUGGUCAGCUCAGCUUCGUGCGUCCGAUACCAAACUCAAGGUGUACCACCGAGGUAAAAGACGACGUUGGCGAGCAUGAUAGUUGGGUCCCACCGGUUAUUGCGGCUGACGUGUUCGUAAAGGCUGAUCCAGUCCUCGACGUCUUCCCCAUCUUUUGCCGAGAAUACGCCAGGAUCACGGGGAGCGGAAAGGGUGAUGUAGGUCGUCGAAGUGGCAGCAGGUGUUGGAGCCGGUGGAGUCGGGUUGGCGUCGCCGGGAGCCAUGAAGGUAGGCUCGACGUACCGUCCACUGCGAAGCUCCGUGACGAGGUACAGGGAACGUCCACCUCCACCAAAUAUGUUACGUAGGAAGACGCAGAUGACAAGCUAUGUACAAAUAUAUUUACAAGGAAAAUACGCUGCGCUUGGCCAAGAGGCAACAGCCCGCGCUAGCUUCUAAAUCGUCGUCGUCGUCUUCACACUGCUGGCCUUUCGUGAUCGCACAUAUUGUGCCGUAGCACUAUCGAUUUACAGUGUACUGUGUAGAGGCUUGUUUUUCCAGGUUUAUGAAGAACCUUUCAUCUUUACCUUUGUGCAUGUCAUGCUGUUUGGAGUACAUCUGCCUAUGUGAGGCAGACUUUUUUUUUUUGCCUGGGAUUGCUUCCGCUGACAUGCGACUAAUUACUAUGUUACUGCGCUUGCACAAAAUUUCUGGUUCUCUGUGAAACUCUCAGCUAUGAAAGACAGGGGACUGGAAACUAUGUCGUGCACAUUGACGAGGCAGUGGUGGGACAUCUGCAGCAAGUCCGUCAAAUUGCACCAAGAGCGUACCAAAAACAUAUAUUGCAGUUUUGUAAACUGCAUCUGUUGCAGCAUCUAAAGCAGACAGUCACGCUGAAAUGUGACCGUUAUCAGGUUAGCGCACUCACGCAAUAUGUGCCUCGGACUGUUGAUGAUCGUCGUUAGCACUUUGGUAGUGAGAAGCAGUGCUAUUGAUUUCGAAUGCUAUAAUGUAUUGCUGAACUGGUGGGAGUACUACCGACUGUGACGGAACGUACAA